CACGUAGGAGACAAGCGUUAUCCGGAUUUACUGGGCGUAAAGCGCGUGCAGGCGGUUUGGAAAGUUGGAUGUGAAAGCUCCCGGCUUAACUGGGAGAGGUCAUUCAAAACUACCAGACUUGAGAGUGGUAGAGGAAGGUGGGAUUCCGGGUGUAGUGGUGAAAUGCGUAGAUAUCCGGAGGAACACCAGUGGCGAAAGCGGCCUUCUGGACCAUUUCUGACGCUCAGACGCGAAAGCUAGGGUAGCAAACGGG
rnacentral:rRNA from 1 species